rnacentral:rRNA from 1 species
UAAGACUGGGAUAACUCCGGGAAACCGGGGCUAAUACCGGAUAACUCAGUUCCUCGCAUGAGGAACGGUUGAAAGGUGGCUUUUAGCUACCACUUACAGAUGGACCCGCGGCGCAUUAGCUAGUUGGUGAGGUAACGGCUCACCAAGGCGACGAUGCGUAGCCGACCUGAGAGGGUGAUCGGCCACACUGGGACUGAGACACGGCCCAGACUCCUACGGGAGGCAGCAGUG